GAUGAACGCUGGCGGCGUGCCUAAUACAUGCAAGUCGAACGCUGAAGCUUGGUGCUUGCCCCGAGCGGGUGAGUUGCGGACGGGUGAGUAACGCGUAGGUAACCUGCCUCUUAGCGGGGGAUAACUAUUGGAAACGAUAGCUAAUACCGCAUAAAAUUCGAUAUCGCAUGAUAUUGUUUUGAAAGGUGCAUAUGCUUCCCUAAGUGAUGGACCUGCGUUGGAUUAGCUAGUUGGUGAGGUAACGGCUCACCCAGGCGACGAUACAUAGCCGACCGGAGAGGGUGAUCGGGCACACUUGGACUGAGACACGGCCCAGACUUCUACGGGAGGCAGCAGGAGGGAAUCUUCGGCAAUGGGGGCAACCCUGACCGAGCAACGCCGCGUGAGUGAAGAAGGGUUUCGGAUCGGAAAGCUCUGUUGUAAGAGAAGAACGAGUGUGGGAGUGGAAAGUGCACACUGUGACGGUAACUAACCAGAAAGGGACGGCUAACUACGUG
rnacentral:rRNA from 1 species